GCGGAGGAGGGGCGCCAGGGCGGCGCGGGCCCGGGGCCACCUGCUGGCCGAGCCGCUGCUCCCCGGGGCGCCGCUUCCGCCUGGCCGAGCGCGGCGCCCCGAGGAGGCGGGAGGCCGCGGCGCAGCGCCCUGGGCCGGGCCCGCCGCGGGGCCUGGGCUCGCGGACCCUUGGUCGCCGCCCGCCCCGGAGCUGGAGCCGCCGCGGCCGCGGCUGCGGGCCGGGAACUUACCCUUUGCCGUCUGCGAGGCCGGCGGAGGUGGAGCGCGGGCUCGGUUCCGGCGGACUCGGUCCGAGGGGAGUUGGGGUGCGGGGGCUGUGCCCCAGGUCGAACGCCGGUGCUCGACGGACGCGGGGCGGGGGCGGGUUUGUGUCCCGCGCCUCCUGGGGGCAGCGCCGACCGCGGGCGCCCCGGAGCGGAACGGAAAGGAAUUCGGCCCGGGGAGAGCGUGCUGAACGCGGCGACACGCCGGACCGAAAGCCCCGGCGGGCGUGCGGAGGGCACGGACGGCCCGGCCCUACGGCCCCCGGCUCGGGGAGACCGGCCACUCCGCGUGGCCCUCACCCCGGAAGCAAAACUGGACCAGGAGGACUAGCCCCGUCUGAGGAAAUAUACACUCAAGUAUUUUCCAAUAAAGCUGGGGUGAGCAGAAUAAAUGCCUCUGUUUAAUCUGCCAUGAAAACUGGAAACUUCUCUCCGCCUUCCUAAACAGUAGUGUGAUAUGGGGAGGAAGAGAGUGAAAGAGAGGUAUCGCACCUGCAGAGGAAAUUAUCAGUUGGAGAGAGGGGACAAGAUGCUUCCCCCUAAGAUCAGGAACAGGACAAGGCCAUCUGCUCUCACCACUCCUAUGCAACGUUAUCUUGAAAGUCUGAGGUACUGCAAAGACAACACAAUGAAAUAAAAGGUAUGCAGGUUGGGAAGUAAGAAAUAAAACUGUCUUUACUGGCAUCUGACGUGAUUGUCUAUGUAGAAAUUCCAAAAAAAUCAAUAGAAUGAAUACUUGAUCGUAGUAAGGACACAAUAUGAGGUUAAUAUAAAAAAGUCAAUCGCAAUUUUAUAUACCAACAAUGAAGAAGGAAUUUGGAACACACAAAAACAUUUACAUUGGCACUUCAAAGGAAAGAGGUUAGGUAUAAAUCUAACAAAAUGUGAAUAAGCUCUAUAAUAGGAAAACUACAAAGCUCUGAUGAAAGAAGAUAUAAAUGAAGAGAUAUACUUCAUGCAUAAAAAUAGGAUGACAAUGCUGCCAACUGUCAUUUCUGACUCCAUCUAUAGACUCAAUGUGUUCCCAAAGAAUAGCACAGAAAUAUGACCACCAAGCUAUUACCAAACUGGUCUUUAGCAAAAGAGUAAAGGCAAUGCAAUGGAGAAUGGACAGCCUUUUCAACAGAUGGUUCUGGAACAAGUGGACAUCUACACACAAAAAGUCACUGCAGACAUCUUUCACAAGUUAAUGAAAUUAAAUC
ensembl:lncRNA